AGAAAUCCUUUCAAUGUAUUGGAGUUUCGGGUAGUCGCGUCUUGUAGGAAAGUAAUUUGGCAACAAGCGGUGAUAACUGAUUGUUCCAUAUCGAUUAUUGUGCCGAUAGUUGACGGUGAUGACCAUUCCUUAAUAAAAGAAAAAUAAGAAAAGGGCAAAAAUGGUGAAAUAAGUGGAUUUUCAGGAGUUUUUAUUUAUCAUGUGUACACAUUGGAAAAUAAUUAAAGUUAAAUGCUUGGUUUUAUUCUUAUUAAUUUUUUCAACCGCGGUAAACCUUCUGUGGACACUUUGCUUACUUGAAAUGGAAACGCGUUCGCAGUAUGUCAAUAAAUCGUCAAAUAGAAUAACGAAAACAACUGCAUUUGAAAAAACUCUAUUAAUAGACUCUACAAUUAAUAGAACAGCAUUCGAGAAAAUUUCGAAGCAUAGUUUUAGGCUUGCUUUCGAAAAUAUAAGCUUUGAUACCGGAAGAUGGGACAAUCAUCGGCUUUAUAAGAUGUAUGAUUUCGCCUUGAUUGGAGAUAACUUUGUUGAAGCUUCGCAUGAAAACAUUGUAUGCUUAGCUACCCAAAGUUCUGUGGAGCGGCUAUAUUCAUUGACACAAGUUGCUCACCAAUGGAACGGUCCGAUAUCCACUGCUGUUUAUGUUGCCGGAAAUGAAGAGUUUUCUAUUUUACAAUACUUCGUAACAUACAUGCGGCUUUGUUUCUCAUUUAUUCGUGAUAACGUUACAUUUCACAUUGCUAUACCGAAUGACAAGAAACCUACUCACGGUCACAAGCCAAAUCUUAUAAAAAACUUUGAUUGCCAAUAUCCUGAACAAACACUACGCCAUUUACUCAAAAUGCGCUCUGCGGACACAAUAAGAUGGCGCAUAAAGAACGAAUAUCCUCAAAAUCAUUUACGUAACCUAGCAAGAAAAGGGUGUCAAAAUAAAUAUGUAUUCCUAACGGACAUCGAUAUAAUUCCUAGUGGAAAUAUGGUAUCACUUUUGAAUAAUUUUCUACAGUCAGCAAAAUGCAGUUACCGAUGCGCAUAUGUGAUUCCAACUUUCGAAAUAGACAAUAGAGCUAUGUUUCCAGUUUCGAAGCCGGAGCUUAUGCGACUCUAUAGGAAAGGUCUAGUACGACCAUUUCACGAGAAGGUUUUUAUAUACAACCAAUACGCAACUAACUUUUCCUUAUGGCUAACGAAUUCCUCAAUUGAAGAAGAGCGGGCGCACAUAAGUCAUGUUGUAACAAAUUUUGAAUUUUUGUACGAGCCUUUCUAUGUCGCCUUUGACGAUGUUCCUGCACAUGAUGAGAGAUUUAUAGGUUAUGGAUUCACCAGAAACUCGCAGUUGGCGUCAUCAAUGUAAAAAUCCCUGAAUCACAAAUUUAAAGUUAAAUUGAUGCAAAAAAACUUUAAAUUAGCGUAAAAAUGCUUGCAAGGAUGCCAAUAAUUCGCAUAGUAUUUAAGAUAAAACUGCGAAAGUAUCUGAGACCAUACUAGCGGAAUAUUUGCGAAUAAGAAACGAUUUCCAAAGUCUACGAAAUGUAUAUCGCUGGGUACACUUUUUUUGUACUAUCCCCUGUUUUUAACUGCCAUUGGGGAUUGCAGCAGAAAAAAGCACGAC
rnacentral:misc_RNA from 1 species